rnacentral:rRNA from 1 species
GCUCAGGAUGAACGCUGGCGGCGUGCUUAACACAUGCAAGUCGAACGGGCUCAUAUUGAAACCUAGUGAUUUAUGAGUUAGUGGCGGACGGGUGAGUAACGCGUGGAAAACCUGCCGUAUACUGGGGGAUAACACUUAGAAAUAGGUGCUAAUACCGCAUAAGCGCACAGCUUCGCAUGAAGUGGUGUGAAAAACUCUGGUGGUAUACGAUGGUUCCGCGUCUGAUUAGCUUGUUGGUGGGGUAAUGGCUCACCAAGGCGACGAUCAGUAGCCGGCCUGAGAGGGUGAACGGCCACAUUGGGACUGAGACACGGCCCAAACUCCUACGGGAGGCAGCAGUGGGGAAUAUUGCACAAUGGGGGAAACCCUGAUGCAGCGACGCCGCGUGAGUGAAGAAGUAUUUCGGUAUGUAAAGCUCUAUCAGCAGGGAAGAAAUAGCGACCUUUGGGUCGCCAGACGGUACCUGAUUAAGAAGCCCCGGCUAACUACGUGCCAGCAGCCGCGGUAAUAC